rnacentral:rRNA from 1 species
UUUUAGAAAUUAAUUUAAAGUCUAACCUGCCCAUUGAAUAUUUUUAACGGCCGCAGUAUUUUAACUGUGCAAAGGUAGCAUAAUCAUUAGUCUUUUAAUUAAAGGCUGGUAUGAAUGGUUGAAUGAGAUAUUUACUGUUUCAUAUAAAUUAAUAAUAAAAUUUUAUUUUUUAGUUAAAAAGCUAAAAUUUAUUUAAAAGACGAGAAGACCCUAUAAAUCUUUAUAUUUUUUUUUAUUUUAAUUAUAUUGAUAAUUUAAAUUAUUAUAAAAUAAAAUAUUUUAUUGGGGUGAUAUUAAAAUUUAAAAAACUUUUAAUUAAUAAUUUACAUAAAUUAAUGAAUUAUUGAUCCAUAUAGUAUGAUUAUAAAAUUAAGUUACUUUAGGGAUAACAGCGUAAUUUUUUUAAAGAGUUCAUAUUGAUAAAAA